AUAAAAAGAAAGGAAAAUUAAGCCUCUGGUUCAAAGUUAGGAAAACAGUACAAUGAAGGAAAACAGAAAGAAAGUAUUAGUAAAUACAAAAUUGGAAAUCAGUAAGUUAGAAAUAGAGGCACUAAUACGUAGAAAGAUGUAAACAGAAGUAGAUAAACCAGUUUCCAUAGAGGAAGUUGGAAUUGUCAAAAAAAACUAGCCCCCAACCCAGGGAAAGGACCCUCAGUUUCAUAGGAAAUUCUUACAAAGCUUUAACAAUUGCACAAUUUAAAUGCUACGAAAAUUUUCAGAGUGAAAAAAAAGGAAAACUUCCAUAUUCUUCUUAUGAAACUAGUGUGACAAAGAUACUACAAUCUGAUAAAAAAAAACCGUCCUGACCAAGGAAGAUUUAUUCCAGGAAUGCAAAAGUGAUUUAAUAAUAGAAAGCCUAUUAUAUUUUAUAGUAAAGGAGAAAAAUCCUAUGAUCAAUUUCAUAGUUACUGAAAAGAUAUUUGACAAAAUACCAAUGCCUUGUGCCUUCUUCGCAAAAACACUGAACAAAACAGUAACUAAUGGAUACCUCCCUUAUGGGAUAUGCAUCCUUUUGGUCUGGAAGGACCGAAACACUGGAAACACUGGAAGGCAUUCCCACUAAAAUCAGGACAACAACAAAGCCCAUUAUCACUACUACUGUCUAAUACUGUGUUUUAGGUAUUGGCCAGAGAAGUUAAAUGACAAAGAAAUUAAAUGUUUAAGAAUUUAAGAAUCUAUUACGUAUGAUAUAAUUGUGUAACUAGAAAACCCCAGGAAGUGUCUGAAAAUUAUAAAUAAUAAAAGCAUUCAGUAAGGCAGUGGGAUGAAAAAUUAUUAUAUGGAAAUCAUUAACUUUCAUAUAUGCAGUCAUUUAGAAAUUAUAAAAAUAGGAACAAACAAGAUUAAACACCUAGAAAUAAACUGAAGAAACAUGCAGAAAUUAUGAAGAAAACUUCAAAACAUUUCUAAAGGACAAAGAAGUCGAUCUGAAUGAAUGGGAAGAAAUACCAUGUUGGCCAGGAAGAUUUAACAUUAAAAGGUCAGUUCUCCCCAGGUUCAUUCAUGAAGUGAAGGUAAUCCCUUUAAUAAUGCCAGUAGGAUUUUUCCCCCUGGUACCGCACAAUCUCAUCUCUAAUUCAAAUGGAAAUAAAUAAAUACAAUGACCAGGAAAAUUGAAAAGAGCAGCGAAGCAGAGGAGCUCAUAAAAGGUGUUGGGACAACCCAGCCAUUUGGUGCAUCAUACUUUGUACCCCAAGAGAAAGACCAACAGAUUCGCUUAGGAAUACAAAUGACCCAUGAACACAUGAAAAGCUGUCCAGCCCAACUCAUAAUUAGAAAUGCAGAUUAAACCUUUGCCAAAUUACCAUCUUUUUUCAUCCAUCAGAUUUCUAGAAAUCCAAUAACAACACACUGGUGGUGAGUAUGUUAAGAAAUAAGUAUAAUACUGGCGGACAUGCAGAAUGACUCCCUAUAUACGGCAGUCUAAUUACCAGUAUUAAAGAUGCAUUCACCGGGGCGCCCGGAUGGCUCAGUUGGCUAAGUGUCGGACUUCGGCUCAGGUGAUGAUCUCGCGGUUUGUGAGUUCGAGCCCCUUGCGGGCUCUGUGCUGACGGCUCGGAGCCUGGAGCCUGCUUCGGAUUCUGUGUCUCUCUCUCUCUGCCCCUCCCCUGCUCAUGCUCUGUUUCUCUC